AUUGAACGCUGGCGGCAGGCCUAACACAUGCAAGUCGAGCGGAUGAAGGGAGCUUGCGCCUGGAUUCAGCGGCGGACGGGUGAGUAAUGCCUAGGAAUCUGCCUGGCAGUGGGGGAUAACGUCCGGAAACGGGCGCUAAUACCGCAUACGUCCUGAGGGAGAAAGUGGGGGAUCUUCGGACCUCACGCUAUCAGAUGAGCCUAGGUCGGAUUAGCUAGUUGGUGAGGUAAAGGCCUACCAAGGCGACGAUCCGUAACUGGUCUGAGAGGAUGAUCAGUCACACUGGAACUGAGACACGGUCCAGACUCCUACGGGAGGCAGCAGUAGGGAAUAUUGGGCAAUGGGCGAAAGCCUGAUCCAGCCAUGCCGCGUGUGUGAAGAAGGUCUUCGGAUUGUAAAGCACUUUAAGUUGGGAGGAAGGACAGUAAGUUAAUCCCUUGCUGUUUUGACGUUACCAACAGAGUAAGCACCGGCUAACUUCGUG
rnacentral:rRNA from 1 species